GGGCCAUUAGCUAAGCUGGUUGUAGCGCCGGCCUUAUAAGCCGGGUCUUACCCAAGUUCAAGUCUUGGAUGGCCCA
rnacentral:tRNA from 3 species